CGGGGCGUAGCGCAGCUUGGUUAGCGCGCGUGUUUUGGGAACACGAGGUCGCGAGUUCAAAUCUCGCCGCCCCGACCA
rnacentral:tRNA from 1 species